GUGGCGGGAAGGAGCCCGCCCUCCGUCUCCCGCCUCCGCCCCCCAGCCUAGCAGCUUGUUUUCCUUCUACUCGCGGAAGGAAGGGAGGGAGAGAGCGCUCGCUCUGGGGACUGGCCUUUGCUGUGUAAACUGUUAAAGGCUGAGCUAGGAGCCCUGCGAGGUGCAGAAACAUUGUCUUAUGGGCAGCUGCAUCUUCAGAAUUCCUCAGGGAUAAGCUUCACAACCCUGUAAGGAAAGAUUACUACAUUUCAAAGCUGAGGAAACUGAGAUUCAAAGAGGUGAACUAAAGAUGUAUUUCCAAGAAUUCAAGGGUACUAUGAAGAAAGAUCCAUCCAUGGAUGCAAAUAUGAAUUAACCUAUGAUGCCAUUAUGCUCUCCGACUGCAGCUGUAACUUCAACUUGCCAGUGUACACCAUUGCUCACAAGAGGACCAGAUGAGAGAGUUUUCCUUGAGCCAAAAUUUUAGCAGGAAAUAUUUCUGUAUUUUAUAUCUCAGCUUUCUAUUGGAAUAGAUUGCUUCCAAUGUCCCCAAUGAUGAAGAUGAUGAGAAAAUUAAGCAUACCAGCCAGUUUAACUUCAGAAAGAAAUGUCUUGGGCUUCCCUGGUGGCGCAGUGGUUGAGAAUCUGCCUGCUAAUGCAGGGGACACAGGUUCGAGCCCUGGUCUGGGAAGAUCCCACAUGCCGCGAAGCAACUAAUCCCGUGUGCCACAACUACUGAGCCUGCGCGUCUGGAGCCUGUGCUCCGCAACAAGAGAGGCUGCAACAGUGAGAGGCCCGCGCACCGCGAUGAAGAGUGGCCCCCGCUUGCCACAACUAGAGAAAGCCCUCGCACAGAAACGAAGACCCAACACAGCCAAAAAUAGAAAAUAAAUAAAUAAAUAAAUAAAGUGAAAUUCUUUAAAAAAAA